AACCUACAGAAAAGAUGAACAUGUUGUGAGCUGUAGGUUUAACAUUGGCUUUUAAGUGAAAGAUCACAUCAAACUUUCUUCCAUCUAUUUUUUAGUCUCCAUAAAUAUUAUUUAUAUCCUUUUGCAGAAGUACCUAUUUGAAACCUGGACAACCUCAAUCCAAACAAAGCUUUCCUGAGGUGGAUUACACUUCCUUCUUUCACUGAGCUCUGCACUGGGGCACAGAAGUCCAACAAAACAGACUGUCUUGAAGACCGAAGCCUAAAUCAGAUAAUAUCAGUGCUACUGUAACAGUGAUAACUUCCUUGGAACUUCAGUAUUGGCUGUGAAAGGUAUCUGCAUUUCUAGAAACAUAGGCUUCUAUUCAACAGAUGGAGAUAUUCUGCCAGCUGGAAAGUAUUGGGUAUCCAGAGAACUAUUUGGAAAAAUGUUGGUCAGUCAUAAGGUUUUUGUAGAGAAUAGUAUAUGCUUCAACUAAGCCUCUGUAAUUUGUUUUUUCUUUUUCUAAAACAAUUGUUAUUUUUAAAGAAAAAAACCCAACAAAACCAAAUGCAUGGAUAUAAUAUGUUCAUAAUUAAAAAAAAAAAAAAUUUAAAAUUGUGUCAUUAUGACAUCUUAAUGUCUUAAUGACAUUCAUUUUGUGGUCCACCACUGUAAUUCUUCCUGAAGAGCUUUCUUCAGUUCAAGGUUUCUUUGUUUAAAGAUUAUCCUGUCAAUAAGUCUAAAUUUGUAUUGAUUUUAGAGUUCCCAGAAAAAAAGCCAACAUUUAGAAAUACAAUUCUGUUCUUGAAAAGGAUCCCUACCAAAUGAGGAAAAAAAACCCCAAAAAACCAUAAUAUGAACCAUGAAGCAAGGCAUUAUAAUUAAAUGAAAUUAACCACACCAAAGUGUUUUGAACAGUCAUCUCCAUCUAUCCUUAAUGAUAUGCAGAAGGGAAUCCUAUAAAAAUGUCAUAUUCAUAUACUCUGAAAAUCCAAGAAUUGGGUCAUACUUUGGGACUCAGAUUUCAUUUCAUGAGAGUGCUUUCAGUCACAGCAUUUGAAGUUUGUUGAUACACCCAAAGAGUGACUUCUUGGGUGUCUGUUCAUUUCAAGAGUCACUUUCACAUUUUAAGGCUCUGAUCCUGUUCUGAGAGGGAGGUGGAUGAGGCCCUGGAUUUCCUUAGGCUGGUGUUGAACUAAUGCUGCUUCUGUGUGAUGAGAUAAAGCCUCCAGCACUGAGCAAUGGAUGAGCUUGGCAGUAAUGCUGCUCAGCUCUCCUGAUAUGGCAGCCCAUGCUGUUUAUUUCCAUGGCUUGAGAUGCCUGUGCAUUUUCUGUAACACUGGAAUGUGCUGAAUUUAGGAUUAUGAGGAUGAUGCACAUAAAGUUAACUGGGUACGUUGAUGAGAGAUAUUUCCCAUGUGUUUCCUGGCUCUUCCUCCUGGCAGGAGUUCCAGUACAUGGUGGGAGUUUCAUACCACCUGGAAGACCUGAAAUUAAAUUGCCAGGAGUAUUAUGAAGAAAUUCUGCCAGAGUCGGUGGAGUGUUAUGGAGCCAUCUGAGUAACUUCCUUAGUUAAGCACUGAAGAAUACUUCAUUUGAGGGAAAUUGAGAUAAGCAGCUCUCUCUGUGUCUCCUUUUCUGCUAUGCAUAGGCAGUGAACCAGUCUGGUGUUGAUGAGCCAAAUAUGAAUUUGUUGUGGCAGCCCUGGGGUUGUUUAUAUACACACAGUGCUCUUGAAAUAGUUACAUCUUAAGAAACCAACAAGUAGAUCAACUACAAGGUGAUCCUGUGUUCCACCACUACACAACUUGGUGGACUGCAAUGCCAGUACAGGAUAUAUGAGAAAAAUAUAUUAGAUCUUUUUCAGUUCAAGUGAGUUUCCAGAAGAAAACGCAGUCACUCUCAGAUAAUUUUCCUUAGAGGUAUUAGCUAAUUUGGAGGCGCUGACAAUAUUGAUGUAAAGUAGAUUGAUUGUUUUUUCUAAUUCCAUUACUUGUGGUGACCUGCAGUCAAUUUUCAUAUCCCAUUUGCUUGCACAGUCACUCAGUAUCACAUGAUUCUUUGCAGCCACCUUUCAGUUUAACUCUCUUGAACCAUAAAGGCAAAUACUUUUAUCUUGCUAUUCACACCUUCACAUGAAUUUUCAAUUGUGCACAAACUUGAGCCAGUCUACAAGUGCCCCCUUGCCUCUACAAAAGGUGACUAUUUUAAAAUGCUGACAAUUUCAAAGAAGACAAAUAAAAUUAGGACUCCCAUAUAUUUACAUCCUGGGCAGGAAGGUCAUGCUAAUGAUUAACUUGCUGUAAGUGAACAUGUGGCUUUCUUGAGUAUUUCUACAGUAUCUGUUCUAAAAAUCAGCUGAUUUUUAAAAUUAGCUGUUAGCAUUACUUAAUUUAGAAAAAAAUUAAUGCUUGAGGGGAAGAUAGGUUUUUUGUGGGUGAUUUUGGAAUAUAUUGUGUCUGAUUACUUUAUGGUAUAUAUUUCUAAAAGUUUUUAUCAUUAUUUUUUACCAUUUUAUCAUAUUUGUGACUUCUUUUUUUUUAAUGUUAUUGUAUAAUUGUAAAUUGAGUGAUUUUUAAAGUGGGAAGACAAAUCCUUGUGCAGUACACAAAAAUACCAUGAUUUAAGAUAUCAAAUAUAGAAAGAAAAUAUAAUACUGCAGUGAGUCAAAGCAUGGAGAUUACAAUAACUGUAAUAACCUGCAGUGAAUCAAACACAGGGAUUUAACAUUAAACUGCUAUCAACCUGAAAUCAAAGCCAGACUCUGGCUGAUUGCUUUAUCCACCUAAGUCAGAUUUACUGAGUGCUUCCCAGAGGUGUCCAGUUCAGCGAGCAGAUUUUGGGCAUCAAAGUUAAGCACUGUGCAGCAGCAGAAAGCAUUAAAGCAGGGCAGUCAGCUCUGGACAAAUAUUUUCAAGUGCCUGAAUGAGCUGCUAACUUUGCUACUGUCUUUCCAAAGAGCAAACAGCAGAAAAAUAAACAUCACCUCCUCUACACAACAAAAGAGUGGCACUUCUGCAGUUAACUGCCUCCAGGGAGUGGUUCUUAGAGCAUUUUGACUCCCAAGCUCUUCAUGGGAAUCAUUUGAGGGAGAGCUGGAGCUAGGGCCCUGUCAAAAGAUACCCGAGGAGCUAUUUAGCGCUCCUGCAAAGCAUCCUAGGUGUUGGAGAAGCACCAUCUUUUCAUGGAAGCAAAAGGAAGCAUAUGAAAAAAAAGAAUUAAAUGCGGUUUUUAGGCAUGUCUAGAGACAUGCUGUUUCCUUUAACUCAGACCUUAUUUCUAUCAGAAUUAAAUACACUAAUUGUUUAUCAUAUAUUGUAUUAUUUUACAUAAUGUUUAACUUUGAAAUAUUUCCCUUUCCUUUUAGAUGAAUUAAUCAACCACUCUAAAUGUGUGAUUGAAGUUAGCUUUUAUCUGAGGACCUCGAAGGAUCACUUUUUAAAUGAUUUCUCAAAUCUGUUGAAAGAGAAGUUUCUGCUCAGGAGUAUAUCUAAAAUAGAAAUUGGUACGAGGCAAUACAGAAAUAUUGAGAAAUUGAGAGGUUUUCAGGGUAUCAGGCUACUAAAAAAAAAAAAAAACCAAACCACUCAAUCACAGAAGGCUAAAUAUUCCACAGCUUAGUAUUUCCCAAAUAAAAAAUUAAUAAUCAGUUUUCUCAACAGUUGUAUAAUAUACCCUUCCUGAAAGAUUGGGGAGAGUCCAAGACACUGAAUGCCUAAUUUUGUUGAAAUGAAACUUUAUAUUCAGGUAUUUGAGAGGUUAGUAACUGUUAAAAUUAGAAAUUCUUUUCUAUUAAAAAUCUUUCGCUGUGAUGAGCUCCAGUGUAACAGUUGCACAUAUGACCAAGUAAAUUAAUCAUGCUUCAUUGCUAUUUACCUUUUCGUUAAUAUAUUGUCGUGAGUUACAAUACCUCCAGUACAUUCAGUUGUAUGAAUCUGUCAUUAACAAUAUACCAAUUAUGAAAUAAAUAUGAGCAGCAGUUAUUGAAAACCUCUCUUAAUUAUCUUGAUAUUUUUGAUCCUGAAAAAUUGCAUUUGGGAAUAAUUUUUUAAUGUAUAAAAUAACAUUUAAUAGCUGGAAAAUGUUUUAAGUUCCUUUCAACUGCAGGUUGAAAGAUAACCAUCUUUUGGGAACAUGCCUCAGCAUUUCCAUGUAUUCACCGUGGUCAAAAUGAAAUGCCUCUGUUAGUUCUUUUGGCAGCUGAAGAAAAGUGAUUCAAACCUUUUGUUACAACAUUCAAGAUUAAGUGAUCACAUCUGUCGAGUAGCUUUUGAAGGAUGCAGUAUAGAUUUGGGCAAUUAGCUAGAAGCUCUCUUUUUUUCAUUAACUUGCAGGCAGGGUAGUCUCUAAAGUGUGUUAUCAGACUUGAGAGUUACAAAUGAUGUUAUCAAAGUUCAAGCCACUUGAUUACAGCAUAACUUUAACUUGCUGAAAUACUCCCAGUGCAGUUUCCUUGCUGUCUAAAAUAAUCAAGCAGAUAAUGGAUUUCACAGCAAUGGAAAACUGUCAGGAACAUUUUGAGGCAUUAAUGACUAUAGACAUAAUAUGUCCUUUUACUGUUUUCAUCUGAAGGAGAAACAUGUAGGUUUUGCCCUUAGCAGUUCCAUCUUCAGGAUGAAAAUUGCAAACAGUACCAGUUAAUUUGCUGAUGCACUGAUGUGGUUUAUAUGACUGUCUGUACAGAAUGGAUUUAUUUUGUUGCUUCUGCAGAAGCUAUCUUUGAAUUUAUUCACAACAAAAAAAGGUUUCAGUUUUUCUAUUCAGAUCUUAAUAUGCUAGAAUUAUGCUAUGAUGCAAGCUAUCUUGUGAAUGAUAAUCCAUUGCAAACAAAAGGGAAACCACUUCUGCAUCUACUACAGAAAACCUUAUGGCAGCUAUUGCAGUUAGUUGGUACUGAUCUGUGCAAAUAAUUUCUUACUCAUUCCAUGAAAUAUAAAAUCUUUUUGACUUGACUUUGGGAUGGAAUUCUACUACUGAAGUAUUGAUCCCAGUGAUAAUUCAUGGUGGGCUACGAUUCAACCAACAACAAAUAAAUAUUAGCUCCAUAUUCAUUGUGCUUACUCUCUGUUGUUUGUGUGUUGAGCAAAUACCCUUUAGAUACUAUGCCUUCCACAGGCAGCAUUUAUCUUUCUAUGCCCAGUAAGUGCCCAUGCAAGAAAUGCCCAGAUGCACUUUUUUAGGUGGACUCAGUUUGCUCCACAAAUAUACAUCAUUUGCACUUCAAACACUGCAGCACUCAAGACUGUAAUGAUUCUUAGGCUUCUUAGUCUUUAGAGGUGCUACAUAAGUUAUUACUGUUUGAAGCUAGCCACAGAAUUUUACUUCAGUGAAACUGAACUUUCAUUUUUUUGAUCUUCAGUAAAAAUAGUUCAACUUCAGUCAAAGAGGAAUGAAUCCAGUAAAAUACUUGUUUCACUUUUCUGCCUCAGUGUGAGCAGGAUAGUCAGGCAUCCUAACAUAAUCACAGUCAGCAUUCAAUUUGAUAUUGAAGGAACUUUGCCCUCAUUUUGAAGCUACCAGAGUCUUUGCUCUUAAAAUAGAGUUUGCUUUACCCAAGUCCUUUUUCUGCAAUUUCCACAGCAACUCCAAAGAUACCAGGAAACAGAUUCCCAUGUCAAAGCUGAAGUCCCUGUACAUUUCUCAGAGCAUCUGUUUUGUAACACAAACCAGUUCUCACAAAAAAAGCUGCAUUUCCUGGUUGCACAGUCAUUGUAAACUUUCCAGAUAUUUCAGUUCUGCCUACCCUUUCAUCACCUGUGUGCACAGCACAAAAAUACUGUAUUUCAACAAGAAAUCUCUCAAGCA